CCAGGUUGAUUCUGCCUGACGUAGACGCUAUUCCCUAAGAUUAACCCAUGCAUGUUUUUGACAUUUGAAAAAUGGACUGCCCAGUAAUACUCACUUUAUUUUAUGUAAAUUUUUGAUUAAUUAACUACGUUAAAGUGUAGAUAAGAUGUUUACAGUAAGAGUGAGACCUAUCAGCUAGUUGUUAAGGUAAUGGCUUAACAAGGCUGUGACGGGUAACGGUAUUACUUUGUAAUAUUCCGGAGAAGGAGCCUGAGAGACGGCUACUAAGUCUAAGGAUUGCAGCAGGGGCGAAACUUGACCUAUGGAUUUUAUCUGAGGCAGUUAUGGGAAGUAAUAUUAUAUUGUUUCAUAUUUUAAAAGUAUAUGAGGUGAUUAAUUGGAGGGCAAAUCAAGUGCCAGCAGCCGCGGUAAUACUUGUUCCAAGAGUGUGUAUGAUGAUUGAUGCAGUUAAAAAGUCCGUAGUUUAUUUUUUUAAGAAGCAAUAUGAGGUGUACUGUAUAGUUGGGAGAAAGAUGAAAUGUGACGACCCUGACUGGACGAACA
rnacentral:rRNA from 1 species